rnacentral:rRNA from 1 species
GUUGAACGCUGGCGGCAGGCCUAACACAUGCAAGUCGAGCGGAUGAAGGGAGCUUGCUCCUGGAUUCAGCGGCGGACGGGUGAGUAAUGCCUAGGAAUCUGCCUGGUAGUGGGGGAUAACGUCCGGAAACGGGCGCUAAUACCGCAUACGUCCUGAGGGAGAAAGUGGGGGAUCUUCGGACCUCACGCUAUCAGAUGAGCCUAGGUCGGAUUAGCUAGUUGGUGGGGUAAAGGCCUACCAAGGCGACGAUCCGUAACUGGUCUGAGAGGAUGAUCAGUCACACUGGAAAUGAGACACGGUCCAGACUCCUACGGGAGGCAGCAGUGGGGAAUAUUGGACAAUGGGCGAAAGCCUGAUCCAGCCAUGCCGCGUGUGUGAAGAAGGUCUUCGGAUUGUAAAGCACUUUAAGUUGGGAGGAAGGGCAGUAAGUUAAUACCUUGCUGUUUUGACGUUACCAACAGAAUAAGCACCGGCUAACUUCGUG